rnacentral:tRNA from 1 species
CAUCAUUAGAUGACUGAAAGCAAGUACUGGUCUCUUAAACCACCCCAUGGUAAUUUAGCAACUACCUCUAAUGA